AUGGCCAGAGCGAGGAGCUCCGGUCUCCCUUCCCUGUUCCUGUUCUUCUGCUUCUACUUCUGUUCCACUUCCUCAAUCUAUGCCAAUUCCGCUGUCUCGCUGCCCUUCGACUUCUCGCACCCCACUGCAAUCCUCAUCUUCCCCGAGCAUGCAUCCAUCACUGCGACUGCGAGUGCGAGACCUGGCAGAAGCAGAGCGCACAGCACCGCCCGGGGGUCGUACGCGAAAAGAGUGCAGCCAUGGGAAAGCCCCACGGGCAAAAUGGUAAGCUUCGCCACCAAUUUCUCCUUUCAAAUUAUUGCGGGCCUGCACAGCCACAGCUCGUCAUGUACCGGCGAUGCGACGCCCUUCUCUUUCACUCCGACGAUGCCCCAUGGCCACGGGCAGUACCUCGGCUUCCUCCUGUCCCAGAAUUCCACCACAGACUGGUACUGGUACACGGGCCAGCGCCUUGCCUGCUUCAGCCCGGAGACUGAGGAUCGCAGUAGCAAGCUCAUCGCCAUCGGCAUGAGAUCUACGGAGGGCACGGGGACGAGUUUUUCGCCGAGCAAGAACCUACCGUCUGCUUUUCUGCCCCGUGUUUCCUACCUUGCUCCUCACGCUGCUGAAUUAUCCUUCAAUUGCAGCGGAUCCUAUCACCACCGUGAUAAGUUCCUUGGGAUUAACACCACCGAAUUAUGCGAUCCUGUCUUUUUUGUGUUCUUACAAGAACAACAAAAAUCAUUUGCUUUCUCUGCUGGUUCAUUGGGAGGUGUGGGAUUUCACAACCUCACAGGUUGCAGAAUCACACGAGGAGCUUCCUUUUACUUAUUAGAUAUGCGUAGCAAGAGGCCGCGGCAGAGCACUGCUAGGUCUAACCAACUGGAAGACGUCGAGCACGUGAUAAGAGAACCUGAGCUAAGGCGAGCAUUGGGACCUAGGGAGUUCAGGUACAGCGAGCUCGCCGCUGCGACGGACAACUUCGCAGAGGAGAGGAAGAUUGGGAGAGGGGGAUUCGGCCCGGUGUACAGAGGCUACUUGACUGGCCAAAACCGUCAUGUGGCCAUCAAGAUGCUCUCAGAGGAUCAAUCUGUGCAGGGUCUGAAGGAGUUUCAGGCAGAGGUCACCGUAAUGAGCCAGCUGAGGCACCGCAACAUCGUCCACCUCGUCGGCUGGUGUGGUCGCCGGAGAGAACUGGCGCUUGCCUACGAGCUCAUGCCCGGAGGCAGCCUCGACACGCACCUCUACAAUCCUGACCGGACGAUAACUUAG
rnacentral:rRNA from 1 species